rnacentral:rRNA from 1 species
GAUGAGCGCGGCGGCGUGCCUAAUACAUGCAAGUCGAGCGAACGGACGAGAAGCUUGCUUCUCUGAUGUUAGCGGCGGACGGGUGAGUAACACGUGGAUAACCUACCUAUAAGACUGGGAUAACUUCGGGAAACCGUAGCUAAUACCGGAUAAUAUUUUGAACCGCAUGGUUCAAAAGUGAAAGACGGUCUUGCUGUCACUUAUAGAUGGAUCCGCGCUGCAUUAGCUAGUUGGUAAGGUAACGGCUUACCAAGGCAACGAUGCAUAGCCGACCUGAGAGGGUGAUCGGCCACACUGGAACUGAGACACGGUCCAGACUCCUACGGGAGGCAGCAGUAGGGAAUCUUCCGCAAUGGGCGAAAGCCUGACGGAGCAACGCCGCGUGAGUGAUGAAGGUCUUCGGAUCGUAAAACUCUGUUAUUAGGGAAGAACAUAUGUGUAAGUAACUGUGCACAUCUUGACGGUACCUAAUCAGAAAGCCACGGCUAACUACGUGCCAGCAGCCGCGGUAAUACGUAGGUGGCAAGCGUUAUCCGGAAUUAUUGGGCGUAAAGCGCGCGUAGGCGGUUUUUUAAGUCUGAUGUGAAAGCCCACGGCUCAACCGUGGAGGGUCAUUGGAAACUGGAAAACUUGAGUGCAGAAGAGGAAAGUGGAAUUCCAUGUGUAGCGGUGAAAUGCGCAGAGAUAUGGAGGAACACCAGUGGCGAAGGCGACUUUCUGGUCUGUAACUGACGCUGAUGUGCGAAAGCGUGGGGAUCAAACAGG